GUCCAUGUGGUGUAACGGCUAGCAUGACUGCCUUCCAAGCAGUCGAUACGGGUUCGAUCCCCGUUAUGGGCU
rnacentral:tRNA from 1 species